UCCGUUCCCGUGAUGCCUACACCAACUAGAGAGGAAGCUAAUGAUGAUCAUGAAACUUCAGAUCAAGUUGCUACUGAACCCCGUAGGUCGACCAAAACACGUACCGCACCAGAGUGGUACGGUAACCCUAUCCUGGAAGUCAUGUUGUUCGACAACAGCGAACCUACGAACUAUGAAGAAGCUAUGAUGAGCCAAAAUUCUGACAGAUGGCUUGAGGCUAUGAAAUCUAAGAUAGGAUCCAUGUAUGAGAACAAAGUGUGGACUUUGGUGGACUUGCCCGAUGAAGGAAAAAUAUGAUUGUAGCAGAAAAAACUCACAACUCGUAGCAAAAUUGAUGAUGGUUGCAGCAGAAAAAUGAGGUCGCCAAUUUCUCACUUCUCACGAACGAUGAAGGAAAAGAUGGUGGUAGCAAAAAACUCGCCGAUUGUAGCAAAAAUAGAUGAAGAUUGCAGCAAAACAGAUCCGUCAAUUUCUUAUGUACGAUGAAGAACAAGAUGGUGGUAUCAAAAAAACUCGUUGGUCGUAGAAAAACUUGAUGCCCGUUCUAGCACCCGUGAUGACCUGUUCCGGCAUCGGCGGGUGCUAGUUGUCGCCGAUGCCAGGAUCCGCGGCAGCCAGUUCCAGCACCCGCGGUGGCCGGUUCCAGCACCGGUGCGUGCUGGUUGCAGCAUCCCGCGGUGCCGGUUCCAGCACCGGAACCACUUCAUAGCCACGCCGCGGUUGGAGCAUCUUGGUCGCUGAACGCCGUAGCUCCCGGCCACCAAGACCACAACGUCUAGCAGCCGCCACUGGAGCAUGCAGGACUGCGGGCCUUCCUCCGUCUUGUGUGCCCAGCCGACCUUGUAGCAGCUCGUGGCAGAUCCCAUGGUGGAGGCGUUGGGAGGCAACAGAAAGUGCGCUCGAGCGCCGGGACGUCGGAGAACAGGGGCGGCUGGAGGUGCGCAUGAGCUUGAGGUGGGUAUGGCUAAGCGUGUGCGGGGAUGUAGAGAGGGAUGAGGCUGGG
rnacentral:rRNA from 1 species